AUGUAUAGAUGUGAAAAAGUGAAGAUUUGGGGACAUAUAAGAAAGUAUAUGAAAGAAGGUGGUGUUUUGAUUGUGAGAAGCGCAAAAGGGAGUAGAGGUUUUUUGUACCCUAUUGUUGAAGAAGAUGAUAUGGUGAAUUUUGAAGUGCUUACUAUCUUCCAUCCAACAGAUGAUGUGAUUAAUUCGGUUGUUCUUCUUCGGAAACCUAAUGCUUGA